rfam:Bacillus lehensis G1, complete genome.
AGGGCUGUAUCUGCGAGAACGGCACCCAAUAACGGAUGGGCAAAAAAGCGUCUGUUGCUUCGAUUCUUUUAAGAACGGGGACAAUAAG